rnacentral:tRNA from 1 species
GGAAAUGUGGCUCAGUGGUAGAGUGCUUGCCUUGUAUGCAUGAAGCCCUGGGUUCGAUUCCUUAGUACCA